CAGUAGCCGCGGUAAUACGGAGGGGGCUAGCGUUGCUCGGAAUCACUGGGCGUAAAGGGUGCGUAGGCGGGUCUUUAAGUCAGGGGUGAAAUCCUGGAGCUCAACUCCAGAACUGCCUUUGAUACUGAAGAUCUUGAGUUCGGGAGAGGUGAGUGGAACUGCGAGUGUAGAGGUGAAAUUCGUAGAUAUUCGCAAGAACACCAGUGGCGAAGGCGGCUCACUGGCCCGAUACUGACGCUGAGGCACGAAAGCGUGGGGAGCAAACAGGAUUAGAUACCCCCGUAGUCCCUGUCUCUUAUAC
rnacentral:rRNA from 1 species